rnacentral:rRNA from 1 species
AUUGAACGCUGGCGGCGUGCCUAACACAUGCAAGUCGAGCGGUAACAGGUGUAGCAAUACAUGCUGACGAGCGGCGGACGGGUGAGUAACGCUUGGGAAUCUGCCUGUUAGUGGGGGACAACCCGGGGAAACUCGGGCUAAUACCGCAUACGCACUACGGUGGAAAGCCGGGGACCGCAAGGCCUGGCGCUAACAGAUGAGCCCAAGUCGGAUUAGCUAGUUGGUAGGGUAACGGCCACCAAGGCGACGAUCCGUAACUGGUCUGAGAGGACGACCAGUCACACCGGAACUGAGACACGGUCCGGACUCCUACGGGAGGCAGCAGUGGGGAAUAUUGGACAAUGGGCGAAAGCCUGAUCCAGCGACGCCGCGUGGGUGAAGAAGGCCUGCGGGUUGUAAAGCCCUUUCGGUGGGGAAGAAAAGCCUCGAGUUAACACCUCGGGGUCUUGACGUAACCCCAUUAAAGAAGCACCGGCUAACUCUGUGCCAGCCGCCGCAGUAAC